rnacentral:rRNA from 1 species
AACGUAGGAGGCGAGCGUUAUCCGGAUUCACUGGGCGUAAAGCGCAGGUAGGUGGUUCGUCAAGUCGGCUGUGAAAGCCCCCGGCUCAACUGGGGGAGGUCAGCCGAAACUGAGGGACUUGAGGUUCCGAGAGGAAGGUGGAAUUCCCGGUGUAGCGGUGGAAUGCGUAGAGAUCGGGAGGAACACCAGUGGCGAAAGCGGCCUUCUGGCGGAAUUCUGACACUGAGAGGCGAAAGCGUGGGGAG